UACGUAGGGUGCGAGCGUUAAUCGGAAUUACUGGGCGUAAAGCGUGCGCAGGCGGUUUUGUAAGUCAGAUGUGAAAUCCCCGGGCUUAACCUGGGAACUGCGUUUGAAACUACAAGGCUAGAGUGUGGCAGAGGGGGGUGGAAUUCCACGCGUAGCAGUGAAAUGCGUAGAGAUGUGGAGGAACACCGAUGGCGAAGGCAGCCCCCUGGGUUAACACUGACGCUCAGGCACGAAAGCGUGGGGAGCAAACAGG
rnacentral:rRNA from 1 species